GCCGGGGCACCGCGAUCAUGCUGGAAGUGGUCCAGAAGAUCGUGCAGAAAAGCGUGACGCAGUGAACCCAGGCCAGAAGCCAGAAGCCAGAAGCCAGAAGCUAGAGCGUCACUAGACGGUGGCGUUCAAAUCUCAGAUCUGGAAUCUGGAAUCUGGAAUCGCGGUUCACUCGCCUAACGGCGUCACAGUGACCUCGGCGUGGCCUUCGUCAUCGUAACGAACCGCGACCUGCCAGGGCUGGCAGCAGACUUCACAGUCCUCGACAUAAUCCUGCUCGGUUCCGCUUCCCGGAUCGAGCGCGAUCUCGACUGACGCGCCGCAAUACGGACACUCGAUGGCCGCUUCGAUGUCGGCCGUGCCGUCACCCAGCGGGAAUUCCUCUUCGAGGGAUUCGCGUUGGUCGUAUUCGUUGUCUCCGUUGCUGCCAUUCUCGCGCAUUGUUGUCCCCCAUCCGCCAUCUGCCAUCUGCCAUCUGCCAUCUGCCAUCCGGUCUACACGUCGCAAAUCUUGACCGCCUCUGCAAGCGACGUGAGCGGGUCCCUCUUCGGAACAAACUCAUGCGCCACAUAGCCGGUGAACCCGGCGUCGGCGAUCGCAGUGCAAACCGUGCGGUAGUUCAACUCCUGGCCGUCGUCAAUUUCGUUCCGGCCCGGCACGCCACCCGUAUGGAAGUGGGCGAUGUGCGCCAGGUUGUCGCGGAUCGUGCGGAUGACAUCUCCUUCCAUGAUCUGCAUGUGGUAGAUGUCGUACAGCAGCUUCACACGCGGUGAAUUUACGCCCUGCAUCACCUUCACCGCCCACGGCGUGCGAUCACCCAUGUAAUCCUUGUGGUCCACCUUGCUGUUCAGCAGCUCGACGCACACCGUGACCCCGUGCCGCUCGGCGCUCGCCUUCACGCGCGACAGUCCGGCGAUGCAUGCGUCGGCGCCCCGGUCAUCAGGAAUGCCACCGCGGUUCCCGAACAUCGCGAUCACGUUAGGCACGCCGGCAGACGCGGCCAACGGCAGCGUCUUCUCGAUCUCGUCCACGAGCAGGUCGUGAUUGGCGGGAUUGUUGAAACCGCGGGUCAGGAAGUCCCGGCGUUUGGACGGGUAUCCCAUGGAGCUGACCAGGCCCGCGUCGCGAACCACCGGCCACUCCUCGGGCUGGAGCAGGUCUAUUGCAGACAAGCCGAUGCGUUUCGCCUGCGUUGCAAACUGCGGAAGCGGGAUGCGGCCAUACGGCCAAUAGGACACGGACUGCUUGAGUCGCCCCGCGGAGUGCGUAGCGCGCUCUUCGGCCAGCAUCGGGAUAAGGGCAGGGGCGACCGCGGUCGCGCCGAUGGUGCGGAUUGCCGUGCGUCGGUUCAUGUAGAUCUCUCCCUGGCGCCAACGUAGGCAUUGCGCGGAUCAUCGUCCAGAAGCG
rnacentral:misc_RNA from 1 species